AAAAAACCGACCGCCCCGCACAACCCUGCCUCGUCGAUCUCAUCUCCACCUCCAUCCCCAAACGACGGCGAUGAUCGAGGGCGCCGCCCCAGCUCCUGGCUGACGGAUUCUCCGGCUCCCCGCUCCUUGGGGCCAGCCCCUCCCACAGCGAUGAUGGAGGGCGCCGCCCAGUUCCCGGCCGAUGGAUACGCCGGCUCCCCUCUUCUCGGGGCCAGCCCCUCCCCCGUGCCGGGUCGAGCCUCGGCUUGGAGGCCCUUGGGGCUGCCGUCGGUGCGGGAGUCCCGCGCGGCCAUGCGGGCUGGGGACCGAGCGGCGGGCCGGCCACCUGUGCCCUGUCCGCCCUGCUGCUGAGCCAUCCUUGUACCGUUGCACGCAUCUUCGCACCACGCGGCCAGCCUCUGGUGCGCACCUCUGCUUUUACUAGCCACGAACCACGAGCAUCACCUGUUUGGUGUUGCGCCUACGAGCGUGUUGUUGAAAUCUGUGUCCAGAGGGUGGCGAAGAUUGAUGCGGAGAGGAAGACGAUGGCGACAGAGAGCGUGUGUACUCCAGCCUGUUGGAUUUAUCACAGAUGCCCCACUAAUUUGGCUUGAUGUACAAUGUCAGAUUCAAGAAAAAAUGUGUUUUCUAUGUUCUACUAUAGAUCACCAGACUGCGUUGUAUGGAGCGGAACAGAACCAACUGGUCUGCAUCUCCUUCAAUGGCACCCUGCAUCUCUAUCAAUAGCACUCUGCAGCAAGCUUGCUUUCUCUACAUCUACCAUCAACUACCAUGCAGCAAGUUCAGUUUGAUGUUAAGAGGAGGCGUUACAGGUAUUUUUUAGGGCACCCCAUGAUAGUCAAUGGAUUUUGUUUAUGUUUCUGGUGGAGAUGAUUCGGGUGAAGUAAUGUUUGUUUCUUAUGAAUAAACUAAGCGAUGAAUUUAAGAUUACUUGCCUGGUAUAUCUAAUUGUAAUAUGUAUCAUGCUCAAGCAAAGGUAUGAUGACUGACUACUGAUAUUUCCUAAUACAUUUGUAUUUUUUGUUUUACUAACUUUCAGAUUUUUCAAAAUCAUGAUUAUUACAUAGUGUGUAUAAUCUUUUCUUGCUAGCUCUGUACUACGAUUUUGAGGAAUCCGCCAAUGCAAAAAUAAGAUAGUUGUAUGUAGUACUCCAUCCGUCCGGAAAUACUUAUCAUCAAAAUGGAUAAAAGGAGAUGUAUUAGACGUAUUUUAAUUCUAGAUACAUUCCUUUUUGUCCAUUUUGAUGACAAGUAUUUCCGGACGGAGGGAGUAGUUAUGUUAUACAGGUUCUGUUUGAUGUGUUUCGGAAGGGAGAGAUCGAUGAUUUUGGAAUAUAAAGCUUCAUAUGAUUUUUUUUCCUCCAAGGUAACCAUGGGAUCCAUAUUUUUUUAGGUUUGUCUCUAAUAUUAUGUAUGCUCUUCCCAUUGAAGUUUCAAUACUUGGGUUUUAGAGCUGCACCUAUAGACUUCAAUUGGUUUGUACUAUAUAUAAUUAUAAAUCAUGUAAUUAUUUUAUUUGCUUCCCGUUCGUUUCAUGUAUUUUCCCUUUUGUUUUUACUAUGACAAGCUCACAAAGAGUGUGUAUUGAAAGGGAAAGUAAUUUGGUAUGUGAGGCCGUUUGAAUGCACCUGUUUCUUGCUGUUGUAUGUUGUAUUGUACCUGUUUCUUAGAUGAAAAUAAGAUUGGCGAUAUAUAUAUAUAUAUUCUGCUGAACAUGCAUCCCUCUGGCAGCAUUUUAGAAAUAUAAAUAUGUUCAGUUGUUAUCUUAUCAAGUUAACCCCUUGUAAGUAUAAAUUGUGGAGGAUAGCUCAUUGUACAACGUCGAAAGAUAGGUCCUAUAGUUAGGCUCAACCUGAACAAUAAUAUAUCUAGCAUUAGUAAAAAAAAACUAAAAAGUGAUACAAAUUUAUUUCAAUUCAUAUUUUCUACAUUUCUUUCGGAUGUUUGAUGAUAUAUCUGAACUUAUUCAUAAACCUACCUUUGAUGUUAGGCUCAAUUAUUCCUAAAUUUGGUGUUGACUAUCCCACGAUUUCAAGCUGACUAUCCCACGAGACAAUUUCUCGACCCAGCCAACAAUGGUUCAUAGAAUUUGGGUGUAUUCUCCCGUUGCAACGCACGGGCACCUUUACUAUAUGUCGAGUUAUGGUUUCAUGAUAAACGGAGCACGCACCAAAUUUUGAUGAAUUGCUUGAAGAAAAUGCAUCGGGUCUUUUCUUGCGUCCUUCAAGUCUUCAACCAGGGGCACCCACUUGAUUAAGAUAUUCGAAGUGUGAGCUUUUAGAAUUUCAAAUAACAAGUCAGAUUCUCAUUAUUAACCUGUGUUCACAUUCUAAUGUUUUUUGACUCUGACAGAUUGUCUUUGUUUCAUAAACUGUUGUUGUUAUGUAUGCAGGAUACAUUUCUAGAGCUAAAAUUUCAGGGCAUCAAGAAGUAAUUAACUAUGCUUCAAAAGUUAUUGAGCUGCAGAUAUGGCAUGUGCGUACACGAAGACCUGAUGCAUCAAAGCUCGGUGUGGACACACCUCUUCUUACAGGACAGAUGUUGAUUUUUCAUUUCCUUCCAACGCCAUUAAAUCCCAGUCUUAUCUAAUUUGAAAUGUCUCCAGCGUGUGUGAUGUAUCCCUCCCCUCAGCUUUUGGACGAAACAUGGUGCUAUUUGGUGCUUUUGUUUGUGGAAAAAAUGUCAUUAGUCAGGCACUUUCUAAGAUGGUCACCUGACUGCUCUGUUGUCAUGGAUGUGGGAAAACCUUUAUCUAUAGUAUUUUAUUGGUACCAUCUCUAUACCGUCUAUUCAGUUUGA